GAGGGUGUAGCUCAGUGGUAGAGCACAUGCUUAGCAUGCAUGAGGUCCUGGGUUCAAUCCCCAAUACCUCCA
rnacentral:tRNA from 1 species